GGGCCCGCACAAGCGGUGGAGCAUGUGGUUUAAUUCGAUGCAACGCGAAAAACCUUACCAGGCCUUGACAUCCAGAGAACUUACCAGAGAUGGUUCGGUGCCUUCGGGAACUCUGUGACAGGUGUUGCAUGGCUGUCGUCAGCUCGUGUCGUGAGAUGUUGGGUUAAGUCCCGUAACGAGCGCAACCCUUAUCCUUACUUGCCAGCACGUAAUGGUGGGAACUUUAAGGAGACUGCCGGUGACAAACCGGAGGAAGGAGAGGAUGAUGUCAAGUCAUCAUGGCCCUUACGGCCUGGGCUACACACGUGCUACAAUGGGAAGUACAAAGGGUCGCAAUACCGCGAGGUGGAGCAAAUCCCAAAGCUGGUCACAGUUCGGAUCGGAGUCUGCAACUCGACUCCGUG
rnacentral:rRNA from 1 species